AGACAAAUAAACAUGGAGUCCAUCUUCCACGAGAAACAAGAAGGCUCACUUUGUGCUCAGCAUUGCCUGAAUAACUUAUUGCAAGGAGAAUAUUUUAGCCCUGUGGAAUUAUCCUCAAUUGCACAUCAGCUGGAUGAGGAGGAGAGGAUGAGAAUGGCAGAAGGAGGAGUUACUAGUGAAGAUUAUCGCACGUUUUUACAGGUACUGAUUUUAAACUCACUAAGUCACAUUUCUUUUUUUUUUUUUUUUUUGAGACGGAGUCUCGCCCUGUCGCCCAUGCUGGAGUGCAAUGGCGCGAUCUCGGCUCACUGCAACCUCUGCCUCCCGGGUUCAAGCGAUUCUCCUGCCUCAGCCUCCCAAGUAGCUGGGAUUACAGGCACCCGCCACUAUGCCCGGCUAAUUUUUUGUAUCUUUGUUAGAGAUGGGGUUUCACCAUGUUGGUCAGGUUGGUCUCAAACUCCUGACCUUAUGAUCCACCUGUCUCGGCCUCCCAAGGUGCUGGGAUUAUAGGUGUGAGCCACCACACCCGGCUUACAUUUCUUUUAAAAAUGUGGAUACCAUUUAGAAAAGGAUGGGCCAUUCUUCCUAUAGGGAUCUG
rnacentral:sRNA from 1 species